AGGUUGAGGAUCAAUGGUUAAUCCAUUACAAAUAUCUUGCCAAAGUCGCUGAAGACUACUUAGAAGCAGUAAAUGGAUGAACCAGAUUGCUGGAGAUGGAGUGAUACAUGACAACAUUUCUGAGUGCAAUGCAUGGAUGCUGAUAUGAGCUGGACAUCCUGACGGGACUUGAGUCAUCGACCAGAGCCUUCAAGUGUGGCUGUUGACAGCUGUUGGAGGUGGAAGGAGUAACAUGCAUGGAUGAUAUGAGACCAAGACGAUGUGAGCUGGGCGGGCAACCUGAUGUCACUCGACCUUUCUGUCAUCACCCGAA